rnacentral:rRNA from 1 species
GAUGAACGCUAGCGGCAGGCUUAAUACAUGCAAGUCGAGGGGCAGCAUGACUGUAGCAAUACGGUUGAUGGCGACCGGCAAACGGGUGCGGAACACGUACAGAACCUUCCUUCGAGCGGGGAAUAGCCCAGAGAAAUUUGGAUUAAUACCCCAUAGUAUUACGGAGUGGCAUCACUUUGUAAUUAAAGAUUUAUCACUUGAAGAUGGCUGUGCGGCUGAUUAGGUAGUUGGCGGGGUAACGGCCCACCAAGCCUGCGAUCAGUAACUGGUGUGAGAGCACGACCAGUCACACGGGCACUGAGACACGGGCCCGACUCCUACGGGAGGCAGCAGUAAGGAAUAUUGGUCAAUGGACGAAAGUCUGAACCAGCCAUGCCGCGUGGAGGAUGAAGGUCCUCUGGAUUGUAAACUUCUUUUAUAUGGGACGAAAAAAGGCUUUUCUAGGUCGUCUGACGGUACCAUAUGAAUAAGCACCGGCUAACUCCGUGCCAGCAGCCGCGGUAAAAC